UGCAUGUUGUAACCAACUUUUUUGUUUGUUUUUUCUUUUUUUAAUUAUACCUUCCCAGUCUCCCCUGCCCAUGGAGCCCGUCCAGCAUCCUGGAGCUACUUCCCCCCUUAUUUGGAGAUGGAUAGUGUAAAGCCAGGUUCUGCAUAUGUUACAAAGACUCUGAACCAGUCCCAGCUGAGCUCAGCAUGUGACAGCUUGUUAAGGAGGCCAAUGUGUGUGCAAUUAGGUGAUUUUAAGUGCUUGCUAAGUGCCAGGCAUUAUUUCUGACUGUGUUUCAACUGAUUGCAAAUCUUCUUUGUUGCUGCCUAUGUGUAAAGCUCACACAGCUGCCUCAGCUCUCCCUAUGCUGAAAUCCUUGUCUGUACUUCCCGUGUGACAUUCUGAAGUCACCAGAGGAGGAUUUAUUUUUUAACUAGGCUUUAAUGCUUUUUUUUCUUUUAUGAAAGUG
rnacentral:lncRNA from 1 species